AGAAAAAUUAGGAAAGAGUAUCUCAUUAACUUAACAAAACUAUUUGCUCUCUCAAGAAAGUCCUGCCAAAUAUCUUACACAUCUAGCUCAGUUACAAGUAUCAGUAAGCCACUAAUUUUCUUUAAAUAGUGUGUCUGAGAAAGAGUCACAAAGGAACUCUACAAGCAUUCAUGAGACAGACUGAAAAAGUGGCACUGCUAUAAUCAUAACUUGAGAAGACUGGGUUGUCGUGGCUGUUUUGUGCAGACUACAGACCUACCAGCCUCUAGCAUAAAUAAGCUGAAAUUAUGCAAGCUUCAGUUACACUACACAUUUCUACUAAAGAAACCAUCCACACUGCCCAAAAUCUCAAAAACUGAGAUUCGCUUGAAAUAAGCGGUGUGUCCCAAUGCAUAAGGAAAAGGCUCAAAUCCUUCUCUGCUGCACACUGACACCCGUCCAGCUUUUACCUGAAGCACCUGCAGCCCUAUGACAGCCUACCACUUAAUAUACAUCUUAUAUAAAAAAUACUUGUGUGCUCUGUCAGACCUAACAGGCUACUUUAGUCAGACAAUUUAUUUAUUCCAGUGUUCAAACUGAGAGCUACUGACCUUUCUUAUGAUGAGACAUGCAUCUCCAGUGACUAACACAGGAUGAAACCCUCAUUUUUCUGAAGCAAGCAAUACUUGCCAGCUCUCAAUCCUGUACCCCAGAAAACCAUUGGAAGCUUAAAAGAAUGGCUUCAAGAAGCACUAUGGAGUACUUUCAAGACUGAAAAGAGAAGAUGCUGACCAAGCCAAGAAACAGCACAAUGACAGAAAAUAAGUAAGAACUAUUCCAGCAGAACGUAUGGGAGCACACUUGAGAAAAGCAUUCUGUGGAAGAUGCAAUUAGUAAUGACGGUGAAAUUCUGUCCCUAUAAUACACAGACUUCACCCUCGUUUUUAA